rnacentral:lncRNA from 1 species
CUGGAAGACAUAGUCUGGAAGAAAGAUUUUAACUACAUGUUAUUUUGGGACAUUCUACAUGUGGAAGUUAAUGAGGAGAAGCAAUUUAAUUAUUUUACUGCUGACAGUCUUACAGUGGCUUCAUGUAUAACCUCCUGUUUGACAAAUAAAACAACCUGCUAGAGAAAACUUCAACACAUUGUAUCUUAAUACAGUUCCAUGUUAUAUUAAAAUCCAUUUCGCAGCAGCAUUAUUGCAGCCGAGUAGGAGUGCUAUUCUGGAGAGUUAAUGAGAGGAGUUAGUGGCCUAUCAUUUCACAUCCUAAUUCAUUCCACAUUUAUUUCCCCACAUGGACAAGCCCUUAAUCAAACAGCUUUUUUAAAUUUAUUUGUGGGCAACUGUUAGAUUAUUUCAGCCUGUGAUUAAUGGAAAAUGAGACAAAUAGUAGCUUCUAAACUUGGGCACCAUGAACAUGCCACAGCAAUUAUCUCUUGGCUGAGUCUCGGGAGGACUCCAGAGCCCUGAGUCUUUGAAUGCUGCUCAGCCUUGGCUCCUGGGUGGCUCCUGGGUGCUCCAGACCUCUCACUGCCGACACCAAAGAGCACAGCCAGGACCAGAAGGCAGAGCUGAGCCAGUGCAUCCUGCUGCAAGCUCGCAUCUACCCAGAGGAGACGAUCCUGUUCCUGGAGUCCCAGCUGGGCCACGAGAGGGAGGCCAUGCGCGUGGCAGCCCUGGGUCUGCUCGGUGCUCUGGCACGCUGUGACGAGCCCGCGAUGGCAGAGAAGCUGCCCCAGGUCGUGGAGGCUGUCAAGCGUGUGUGCAGGGACCCCAGCAUCCGGGCCAGAAACGCCCCCCCCCAUGUUGGAGAGGCUCCGUACUGUAGCCAGGAGAGGCUGCCUAGAGAACGGGCAGAGGCUGCACACAUCAACCUUCGAAAUCCUUGCUUUCCAGGGCCCAAGCAGCACACCCAAGCGUGGAGAUGGCAGACAAGGCCCUCUGUGACUGUGGCACCCUGUGGGCAAUAAAACUCUGUAUGUGGUCUCACCGCUCACUGUGUCCUUGGGGAAAUCCAACUCAACGUGGCCUCACCUCUGCAGACAAAGGGUCUUUUUUGUAGGGCCAGGGGGGCAUGUUGGGGCCUGUGGGGAAAAGCCUGGCAGGAUGAACAAAUGGGUUCUGAAGGAGUUGGUGGACCUAAGCGUGAGGCCUCCCAGGGUUAUCCAUCAAAUGUCACCGCGAUCAGGAAAGGCUGCUGGCAAAUGGGAGAAAGCAAACAUCGCCCCUCUAAAUUGGUUUCUCUAAAACUUCCCUUAAAAAGAAACUGCUUGCCACUCCUGUUCCCAAUGUGUACAUUUUGUGAGAAGCACAGAGAACGUAUACUACUAUAACCUAGAUCUUAACUUUUUCCCCCAGGUUUCACUAAAGAGCCCUUUGCACCCUUUGCACAUUCCAGGAACUCAUCUUGGGCAUCUUUGGAAAACUGCUCUCCAAAGCAGUUCUCAACAUGCGCUUCUGGGAUGGUUUUACUCGGGUGGGCAGCUGAGCUCCACCACAACUGCUCUCUCACUCCCCCUCCUCCAAGAGGAACAGGGAGAAAAGAGGAUGCAAAGGGCUUGAGGGUUGAGAUAAGGACGGGGAGAUUGCUCAACAAUGAUCGUGACAGGCAAAACAGAGUCGGGAGACAGUCACAUUUAUUGCCUAUUCCUAACAAUCUAGAGAAGCGAGAAACAAAGGAAAGAAAUCAAAAAUGCCAUCCACCCUCUUCCACCUCCUCCCCCCAAGCAGCGCAGGGGAACAGGGGAAUGGGGGCUGUGGUCAGUCUAUGGCACUUCAUUCACUUCUCCUUCUUGGUCACUCUUGUCCUCUGUGCUGUGGAGUCGCUCCCAUGGGAUGCAAUCCUUCCCAAACUGAAAUGAAAUUCUUGGCAAAGAAAUUCUUGGCAAAGAAACCAAGUCAGAGGAUUAGUAUUUCUCA